UGGGGAAUAUUGGACAAUGGGCGAAAGCCUGAUCCAGCCAUGCCGCGUGUGUGAAGAAGGUCUUCGGAUUGUAAAGCACUUUAAGUUGGGAGGAAGGGCAGUAAGCUAAUACCUUGCUGUUUUGACGUUACCGACAGAAUAAGCACCGGCUAACUCUGUGCCAGCAGCCGCGGUAAUACAGAGGGUGCAAGCGUUAAUCGGAAUUACUGGGCGUAAAGCGCGCGUAGGUGGUUUGUUAAGUUGGAUGUGAAAGCCCCGGGCUCAACCUGGGAACUGAAUCCAAAACUGGCAGGCUAGAGUACGGUAGAGGGUGGUGGAAUUUCCUGUGUAGCGGUGAAAUGCGUAGAUAUAGGAAGGAACACCAGUGGGGAAGGCGAGCACCUGGACUGAUACUGAAACUGAGGUGCGAAAGCGUGGGGAGCAAACAGG
rnacentral:rRNA from 1 species